rnacentral:piRNA from 1 species
UCCNCCCAUGAAUACUGAGCUUCAGCUGCCA